UGAAACCAGCCUCUCCCCAGGCUCAGCCACUCUGCCCAACCCAGUUCCAGAAUCCCCUUCUGCCCGCUUUCCCCCUUGGGGGAGCAGAGAGGCCUCGGAAGGCCAGUGGGUUCAGGGCCCAGCCAGCCCCGACUGGCUUCACCCAGUAAGGAUGCGGCGCCUCCCCACUUUCCAGCAACCAAUUUCCUCCCCUUCGCCCUCAAUUCACAUAAAGGCCUGAGAGCCACCCCCAAAAGAGCACCCCACGCUUCACAUCCCGCGCCCAUGGGUCUCCCAGGCUCAGGAGUAACAGAGAUACAGCCCUGGCCAGGUUACCUCCCAAGAGGGCGGUGACCCUUAGAGCGCCCUCCGGAGGCACCAGGCUCCCCGAGGAGUGACCCUGAGCAUCCUCCUUCCUCCCGGGCCUGCCGCCACUCAGCAGCCGUCAGGAGGGGCGGAUGGACCCACUGACAGCCCUCCCGCCUCCUCCCCUUCUCCCAUCCAUCCUCCCUCCUCUCCGGUGCCUGGAAGGAGCUACCUCAGUGUCCAGAAACUCUCCUCCUCUCUGCGGCGGUGGACAGCCGGACUCUGGGGGAACCUGGGAUGGCUACGGCAGGUCCGUGGGAGUUUAGCAAGGAUGGCCAAUUCUCAGGGAUGCUCAGACCUGCCCUGGCAGGGCCAGCAAACUACACUCAAAACCUGGCCCACCGAUUGUUUUUAUAAAUAAAGUUUUAUUAGAACACA